AGUGAACGUUGGCGGCGUGGAUUAGGCAUGCAAGUCGAGCGAUCGUAGCAAUACGGGAGCGGCAAACGGGGUAGGAAUACAUCGGAACGUACCUUUUGGUUGAGAAUAGCGUUGGGAAACUGACGGUAAUACUCAAUAAAGUCGAGAGACCAAAGGUUUACUGCCGGAAGAGCGGCCGAUGCGAUAUUAGGUAGUUGGUGGGGUAAUGGCCUACCAAGCCUGAGAUGUCUAGGGGGUGUGAGAGCAUGGCCCCCACCACUGGGACUGAGAUACUGCCCAGACACCUACGGGUGGCUGCAGUCGAGGAUCUUCGUCAAUGGGCGAAAGCCUGAACGAGCGACGCCGCGUGCGGGAUGAAGGCCCUUGGGUUGUAAACCGCUGUCAGGGGGAUGAAACCGUAAGGUUGACAGAGCCCCAGAGGAAGCACGGGCUAAGUUCGUGCCAGCAGCCGCGGUAAU
rnacentral:rRNA from 1 species